GACGAACGCUGGCGGCGUGCCUAAUACAUGCAAGUAGAACGCACAGUUUAUACCGUAGCUUGCUACACCAUAGACUGUGAGUUGCGAACGGGUGAGUAACGCGUAGGUAACCUGCCUGGUAGCGGGGGAUAACUAUUGGAAACGAUAGCUAAUACCGCAUAAUAUUGAUUAUUGCAUGAUAAUUGAUUGAAAGUUGCUAUUGCAUCACUACCAGAUGGACCUGCGUUGUAUUAGCUAGUAGGUGAGGUAACGGCUCACCUAGGCGACGAUACAUAGCCGACCUGAGAGGGUGAUCGGCCACACUGGGACUGAGACACGGCCCAGACUCCUACGGGAGGCAGCAGUAGGGAAUCUUCGGCAAUGGACGAAAGUCUGACCGAGCAACGCCGCGUGAGUGAAGAAGGUUGUCGGAUCGUAGAGCUCUGUUGUAAGAGAAGAACGGGUGUGAGAGUGGAAAGUUCACACUGUGACGGUAUCUUACCAGAAAGGGACGGCUAACUACGUG
rnacentral:rRNA from 1 species